rnacentral:lncRNA from 1 species
UGGAAGAGUCUGGAGGUGGCUGCUAGAAAAAGCCUGCAUUGCCACGAAUGCAUGUUAAAAGAAAUUCUGGUGAGAGCUCAGAAGAAGAGGACAGCUAUAGAGAGAGGCUCAAUCUUCCCAGAGAAUACCUAAAUCAUAAACAGCGUGUUCCUAGGAAUAUGGACAGACAUGUUAUUGGAAACUGGAGGAGAGGUGAUCCUUGUUACACAGUGGCAAAGAGCUUGGCUGCGUUGUGUUCAAAACACUGGCUGGUGUUUUGUGGAAGGUAGAACCUGUGAGCAGUGACACUGGAUAUUUGGCGGAGGCUAUUUCUAAACAACAGAAGGGUGAUAGAGGCUCUAUCCAGAAGCUGAGGCCAGCUUUCGUGAGGACAUGUGUGAGAUGCUGGGUGAGCCGUGCUGCUUCAGAACCCAGACGACAAAAUUUCGGAGAUCUAAACGUAUCCAGGGAAGUAGAAGAAAUCACUCCAGGAGAGGGCACAUUCCCUAUUACAAAUGGGAAUGCAUGAUGAUAGGAAACAAUGUAAAGCUCAGGGUUCCUCAUCUCUACAAGGCUGCUGCAAAACGACUGGCAAUGCCAAUCCAGAAAAUGCUGCCCUCUGCAUGUCAAAGAGGAUCUUCUGCCUCUGACAACUCAAAGGGAAAGGAGAGAGGGGUGAAGAGCAUCCCUUGCAGAUGGUAGCCAGAGAUGCCUCCCAGGGUCCUUUGCUUCCUCCCCCAGCAGGGAUCAACAGGUCUUCCACCGCAUCAUAAAAGCUAAGAUGUGCUGGCUCAGAGGCCUUCAUAAUUUGAUCACACAAUUACUAGGAGGGAAGGGUCGGUGCUUUAUGGCCAUCAGCUGCGUGGGCACCCUUUCCAUUACCAUCAGUGCUGGGUCAUAAUGAAAAAUGGGCAUGAUGCUAUUCAUUUGAGAGAUCUUUAAGGAUGAGGCUUUCUGGGCUGGUUUCCUGAUGGAUUUUUUUUGGUAAUGUCACAGUAUUCUGCGAGGCCCUCACAUGCCUCUUGCUUUACCUCCCUUGGAGAAUAAACGAACUUCAAAGGACACCUGCUUCUGAUUUAUGGUUCAGCCCAGGCCCUUGGCUUUGGCUCUUUCUCCUUCCAAACCAAGGGCUUUCAGGAUGAGAGGGCUGUGGGACUCAGCGACUCUGGGUGAGGGUGCUGGGGCAGUGCCAUCCUCCACCCUGCCGCCUGGUGGGGUUCCCGCCCUUGGCUGGACCUCCAGGCUUGCUUCCUUCCUCCCAGCUUCCUGCAUGGGGCUCCAGCGGCUGCCUGCUCAGUGGAAGAAAGUGCUCUGGGAGGAGGGAGGUCUGGUCUUCAGUCAGGGCUUCAGGUCCCGUGAGAACUUCCAAACCUGCUUGGAGGCCCUUUGUAGGGGCGUGUGGGAUUCCCAGUGUCUGCAGAGAAGAGGAGAC